rnacentral:rRNA from 1 species
AGUCACUGACAUUAGAUACCCGUGUAGUCCAGGGUGUAAACGCUGCAGACUUGGUGUUGGGCCCUUUGGGGCAUUCAGUGCCGGAGAGAAGUUGUUAAGUCUGCUACUUGGGAGUACGUCCGCAAGGAUGAAACUUAAAGGAAUUGGCGGGGGAGCACCGCAACGGGAGGAGCGUGCGGUUUAAUUGGAUUCAACACCGUAAACUCACCAGGGAAGACUGUUACAUGAAGGCCGAGAUGAAGACUCUGCUAGAUUUUCAG